rnacentral:rRNA from 1 species
GUCCACGCUGUAAACGAUGGUUACUAGGUGUCCGUCCGCCUCAGGCGGAUGGGUGCCCAAGCGAAAGCGAUAAGUAACCCACCUGGGGAGUACGACCGCAAGGUUGAAACUCAAAGGAAUUGACGGGGCCCGCACAAGCGGUGGAGCAUGUGGUUUAAUUCGAUGGUACGCGAGGAACCUUACCUGGGCUAGAAUGCCCCCUGACAGUCCGUGAAAGCGGAUUUUCCUUCGGGACAGGGAGCAAGGUGCUGCAUGGCUGUCGU